UUUUAAAAGACUUUAUUUCGCCUGCAGAAAAGCUGUAUUCAUACUUUUCUGCCAGUUGUUCGGUAGAUUCAAUAGAUUCGGUAGGUUAACCGCAGCUUAAUUGACGAAUGCUGGGUGGCCGCCAUUCGUAUCCCGAACACGAGGUCGCGGCCAUUUUAAACAUACGAAUGCACAGCGGUGUUCGCCCCUAUUUUCAUGGAACUAAAAUCGGACACAGUUUUGCGCGAACACCGCUGAAGCUGCCGACCUCCCUUCUUGUUCGGUGGAAGUGCACGAACGGCCCGGUGUUCGGUAGUUUUGUUUGAAUGUGUUAUACCCCAGAUAGGAAUCCCAUGGAGCCCAUUCGUAUGAAACUGACUGUAAAGACUUUGGCUCCAUGGCGAUUAAACUGUAUUCGUGUGGUCUGAGCGCCAUUCACUUAAUAAUGUGCGCUCAGACCUGAGUUAUCUGGGGAUAUGUUAAAUGUAUAGUUUUAAUGUAAUGUGUCUUACCUGGUGUAUUUUAACAGUAAUGCUUGUUUUAGUAUCCCCAUGUGCAUAAUGGAGAUUUGCCUUUGUCUUGGGAAAUAAUUGAAUUACUUCUCAAUUAUCUCCCAGGGCAGAGGGGAGGAAGCCAGGAUGCAUGGUGGGAAUAUACUGUGACUGUGUGUCCUAUUUGUCUGCUUGUCUGUCCCUUGUCACAGUCUCCCAUUUGGUCCCCUAGGGAG